GCCGCUGCUCCCAUAACAAGCUUCCUGAUACCAAGCUCGGAGAUAAGUUCCAAAAUUCCCUUCUCAAUACUCAGAUCCGUUUCAAUAUGCAGUUUCUCAGUCUCCACCCCCAUUCGCCAACAAAGAAGAUGGUAUUCGUAUAGUAUUUUAUGCAUGUCUUGCCUUUCAAAUUCCCGGUAAGCCUUGACUUCCCCUUCUUCAAGUGUGCUUGCGUGAAAUUUUGGACCCAUUAACGUCGGAAUCAUCUGUGCGGGUUGGUGAACAUGAAGGAUGCAAAUCUUCUUCCCUUCUGAUCUCUGUAAUGCCCAUGUAAGAAGCGAUUUGUUUUCCCUCAAAUUUUUCCCCACUGCUACGUAUAUCUUCUCUUUAAUUACCGGCGCCACCGGCUCCUUCACUUUCUUCCUGGUGGCCGCCAUGUUUCCUGGAACUCUAUAUCCAGGAAGGUUUAUCGGAAUCACCUGUUGCGUAAUUUCAGGAGCAGGACUCACCACAGCCA
rnacentral:misc_RNA from 1 species